GAUGAACGCUGGCGGCGUGCCUAAUACAUGCAAGUCGAGCGAACAGACGAGGAGCUUGCUCCUCUGACGUUAGCGGCGGACGGGUGAGUAACACGUGGAUAACCUACCUAUAAGACUGGGAUAACUUCGGGAAACCGGAGCUAAUACCGGAUAAUAUAUUGAACCGCAUGGUUCAAUAGUGAAAGACGGUUUUGCUGUCACUUAUAGAUGGAUCCGCGCCGCAUUAGCUAGUUGGUAAGGUAACGGCUUACCAAGGCAACGAUGCGUAGCCGACCUGAGAGGGUGAUCGGCCACACUGGAACUGAGACACGGUCCAGACUCCUACGGGAGGCAGCAGUAGGGAAUCUUCCGCAAAGGGCGAAAGCCUGACGGAGCAACGCCGCGUGAGUGAUGAAGGUCUUCGGAUCGUAAAACUCUGUUAUUAGGGAAGAACAAAUGUGUAAGUAACUAUGCACGCCUUGACGGUACCUAAUCAGAAAGCCACGGCUAACUACGUG
rnacentral:rRNA from 1 species